rfam:Paenibacillus sp. MAEPY2 contig41, whole genome shotgun sequence.
UUGUUGAAAUAGAUAUUUGCUCGUAUAACGCCGGGAAUAGGGCCCGGAAGUAUCUACCCGGGAACCGUAAAUUUCCGGACUACGAGGAGAUACGGCUGAGAG